GAGAUUGGAAUUCCUGGUGUAGCGGUAGAAUGCGCAGAUAUCAGGAGGAACACCGAUGGCGAAGGCAGAUCUCUGGGCCGUAACUGACGCUGAGGAGCGAAAGGGUGGGGAGCAAACAGGCUUAGAUACCCUGGUAGUCCACCCCGUAAACGUUGGGAACUAGUUGUGGGGUCCAUUCCACGGAUUCCGUGACGCAGCUAACGCAUUAAGUUCCCCGCCUGGGGAGUACGGCCGCAAGGCUAAAACUCAAAGGAAUUGACGGGGACCCGCACAAGCGGCGGAGCAUGCGGAUUAACUCGAUGCAACGCGAAGAACCUUACCAAGGCUUGACAUAUACGAGAACGGGCCAGAAAUGGUCAACUCUUUGGACACUCGUAAACAGGUGGUGCAUGGUUGUCGUCAGCUCGUGUCGUGAGAUGUUGGGUUAAGUCCCGCAACGAGCGCAACCCUCGUUCUAUGUUGCCAGCACGUAAUGGUGGGAACUAAUGGGAUACUGCCGGGGUCAACUCGGAGGAAGGUGGGGAUGACGUCAAAUCAUCAUGCCCCUUAUGUCUUGGGCUUCACGCAUGCUACAAUGGCCGGUACAAAGGGCUGCAAUACCGUGAGGUGGAGCGAAUCCCAAAAAGCCGGUCCCAGUUCGGAUUGAGGUCUGCAACUCGACCUCAUGAAGUCGGAGUCGCUAGU
rnacentral:rRNA from 1 species